GUGGGGAAUAUUGGGCAAUGGGGGAAACCCUGACCCAGCAACGCCGCGUGAAGGAAGAAGGUUUUCGGAUCGUAAACUUCUAUCCUUGGUGAAGAUAAUGACGGUAGCCAAGAAGGAAGCCCCGGCUAACUACGUGCCAGCAGCCGCGGUAAUACGUAGGGGGCAAGCGUUGUCCGGAAUGAUUGGGCGUAAAGGGCGCGUAGGCGGCCUGGUAAGUCUGGAGUGAAAGUCCUGCUUUUAAGGUGGGAAUUGCUUUGGAUACUGUGGGGCUUGAGUGCAGGAGAGGUAAGCGGAAUUCCCGGUGUAGCGGUGAAAUGCGUAGAGAUCGGGAGGAACACCAGUGGCGAAGGCGGCUUACUGGACUGUAACUGACGCUGAGGCGCGAAAGUGUGGGGAGCAAACAGGAUUAGAAACCCCGGUAGUCC
rnacentral:rRNA from 1 species